GCGGCGCUCGAGCGCUGAUUGGGCAGCGCUGCCGGCCCGCGGUAUAAAGGGCCGGCGGGGCGGGUGGGGCCGGUUGUGUGUGUGAGGGCUGAGGGUGCGGCCCCGCUGCUGCCCGGGCUGCGGAGGGGAGAGCGCCUUGGCCGCUGGCCUCGCUCGUGGUUUCCCCUGGUGCGGAGGCGAGUUGUGCUUCCUGCGGGGAGAGAGAAGGGCCUUGGGAAGCUGCUCCAUGAGCCACAGCUGUGCCGAGCCCGGGAGUCUGUCCAGACUUCACAAAGCUCCCAGGAAAGGAACCUUUAGAUUCCUUCCCAGCUUUAUGCUAAAGGUUUCCUUCCUCCUGUCUCAGCACCCUUUCUGCUGUUGGGAGAGCACGAGGUGGAUGGAGAGGAUCCCCAGGCAUCUGCAGGCACAAGGGACUCGUACAACUGUGAUUUUCCUACAGCCCUCGUAAAAGGGACCUCCAGGAUACUCUUGGGAAUGUGCCAGCUCUCCUGCUGGAGCUAUUCUAUGGAGUAUUUGAACACAAAGGGUAAAACUAAAGUCAGGAGAAACUGGGGCAAGCGGGCAGGAAGAAGAGAAGCCCC